CCUAACCGGAACAUCUGCUCCUGCAUCCCAGAGCCCAAGGUCAAGAAAACUGAAAUGGGCACAGUAGACCUUGGCCCUCUAUGGGCUGUCGCGCCACUGUGUUUAGUUUUAUUUUAGUUUUUAGUCCGCUAAGGCAAAAUCUUGAAUAUUAUUCUAGAUCAACAUGAUGCAGUUUAAUAUUUUGGAAUGAUUUUCAAUUUAUUUUUAAUAAGACUCGUGAAGACUCGUAAAGAGACUAAAAGAACAUGAAAACUUUUCGUAUAAAUAGUGUGCUCUAAUAAAAUAGUUUUUAUCUUUAAUCCACAAAGAAUAUUGUAUAAAACAAAUUUACUGAGACAGCUAUUCCAAAAAAAUAAUUUUAUUAUUUCAAUUAAAUAUUAAAAUCAUUUUGGUGAACCUAUACUUAAUCUGCUUAUAUUGUAGUUAAAAAAGUUUAAAAGUAUUAUUGACUCUGGAUUUUUGUUGUCAACAUUAGUAACUUAUCAAAGUUAUAUAAAUAUAUAUUUCAAUUUCCUUCAAUUUCUUAAAAAAAAAUCUCAUCUGAAAAUUUCCAAAUGAAACUUGCUAUGCAACUUUUAUAUAACUUGAUUUUACUCAACUUGAACAUGCAACUUUUACAGAGCUGCUCCGUAAAUGGCAUCCAGAAUUUCAAGGUUUGAAUAAGGCUGUCAAUAAUACGUGCUCUGCAGCUAGGAGGAAGUGGAGACUAGUAACUGGAGAGCCUUCCCCUGGGAGUAACUCUAAAUAUACACCAAAAAGAAAAAAGACAAGUUCCAAUGCUCCAAAUAACGUAAGCACAGCAAACUUGCAGAAGAAGCAGAGUAAUUGUCAAGAAUUUUGAUUUCUUGAACGAAAAAUUAAUUUUUUUUUGUUAAUAAAAGUUUUUAUUUGUAA